GAUGUAUUUCAAGCACAGCAGGGUGCUCAACAGCAAGGAUGGAAUAGCUGGAGAUGAGGAGAGGAGAGAGAGAAGCAACGUGAGUUGGCUUCCUGUGUGACCCUGGGCAAAUCGCUUGGCCUGUCAGUGCCAUCUGUACAGUGAGGAUAACAGCAGGGCCACAAUGGGGGAUGAAGAUGAUUUGUUGCUCAGGUAGCCCAGGAUGCAGCAGCACCCAUCACUGGAGUGUCUGGAUGUCUCCAUGUACAAUGGUAACAAACCUUCAGCCCUGAAGAUGCCCCUGGGGUAUAGUAUUCGCCUGCUGGGAGAGCUAAUUUGCUUUAAAAUGAUCCACUAAAAUGAAAUUCCUUGGUUGGGGGGGAUGUUGGGCUAGUUGCUUACAUGCCUACAGUAUGUAUUGUAGACCCCCAGUCCCUGCCUGAGAGAUCAACCUCGGCCUGCUCUGGGGACCUGCUGUGCAGCCCAGAGCAAUGCUUGGCAGCCAUCCUGUCUGUAGGUCUGGGUGGUAGAGGUGAGUUUGGAGCAAUUCCAUGCCCUGUGCCUUCUCUCUGUUUCUUGGCCUUGUCUCUGUGGGUUGGGGGCAGUGGGGUUGUGGAGGAGCUUCAGAAGUCUCUGAGCCCUGAGGUGUCGCAAGGCCUGUGCUGCUGCAAAACCCCAGCCUGUGAAUCCCUCUAGCUUCUCCAUCACUCCCCUGCCUGUAUUGCUUUUGCCUCUGCCCUCAGCCAGAGCAUUUUUCUUUGGUUAGACUUUGCUUGGGGCAUGUCAGGCACCUCUUGGUCCGCUCCGUGCAUUUAACCACCAGCCCAACUGCCCAGGACACUUCCCUGCCAGGGAAGACUUGUUCUACCAGUGCAAAAUACAAUAGGGUAGAGGGGGAGACCUUGUCCUCCUGGUGGCUGUGGCCCAUAUUGCACCUAAUCAGGCACCUGAUUCUUGCUGCUUGUUUUUUCCCUAUUUGCAGCUCACUGAAACUUUACUGGGAAGACUUUUUCCGGAUCCUCCAGCCUUUGCACAGAAAGGAGCAGCUUCCUAUGCAGUUCAGUAAGGUCAAGUGCAAAGUCCUGCACUUAGGACAAAGCAAUCCCAUGCACCAGUACAGUUUGGGGACCAGCUGGCUAAACAGCAGCUCUGCAGAAUAGGACCUGGGAGUUACAGUAGACAAUAAGCUGCAUAUGAGUCGAUACUGUGCCUUUUUUGUAAAGAAGGCUAAUGGUAUACUGGGCUGCAUUAGUAGGAGCCUUGCCAUCAUAUUGAAGGAAGUGAUUAUUCCCCUCUAUUUGGCACUGGUGAGGCUACAUCUGGAGUAGUGUGUCCAGUUUUGGGCCCCCAAUGACAGAAAGGAUGUGGACAAAAUGGAGAGAGUCCAGUAGAGGGCAGUGAAAAUGUUAGGGGGCUGGGGCACAUGACUUAUGAGAAGCUGAGGGAAUUGGGCUCAUUUAUUCUAGAGAAGGGUGGGGUGGGGGUUUCGUAGCAGCCUUCAGCUACUGAAAGGGUGGUGCCAAAGAGGAUGGAGUGAGACUGUUCUCAGUGGUGGCAGAUGACAGAACAAGGAGCAACAGUCUCAAGUUGCAGCAAGGGAAGUUUAGGUUAGAUAUUUUUAAAAACCCCAAACUUUCUCACUAGGAAGUAAAGAACAGGUUACCCAGAGAGGUUGUCAAAUCUCCAUCCUUAGACGUUUUUAAGACCUGGCUAAACAGUCUUGGCUGGGAUGAUCUGGUUGGGGAUGGUCCUGCUUUGAGCAGGGGCUUGGACUAGAUGUCCACCUGACAUCCCUUCCAACUCCAAUUUUCUCUGAGUCUAUGAUUCUAUGAGGAUACUGGAGUAUCUGGAGAUAUUUUGGGGCCCUUAGGCUAACCCAGGUCCUGUUUCCAGUGUAUGGGACCAGAUAGGGUGUCAGAAGAAUGCAGAGGCAUUAUUAGGCAGUUCUACACUCUGGGCAGCACAUGGGCUGGUGCCCCUGGUUGCCCCCCCGACCUCCCAUUACUGGGAGACUUGGGUGCUAGUCCCAGCUCUGCCACUUACCUGCCCUGUGACCCUAAGAAUGACCUUUCCUUUCCUCGUGCCUCAAAUUCCCCUAUAAAAAUGAGGAUGACAGUCUUGGUGCAUGUUUCUGCAGGGUUGUGUGUGGGUGGGCAGUAGGAGACAAGAGCCCAAGACUGGCUACCCUGGGGGACCCCUCUGUGCUCACCACAGUAGUGAGAGACUCUCAUAUGAAGUUCAGACCUAGAGUGGAUGCACAGACCAGCCUUCACAGAUCAGGGCUGGAGUUAGGAGCUUGCAGCACACUGGGAGUUUGACACCUAUCUCCCUUAGGCUCCCCAAAACAUUAUCUAGUGGGUUUACUGACCGCCCUCCCGAUCCCCAGGACUCCAGCUCUGGUCUGAAUGCAGUGGGCUUUAUGAAUGAUAGAGUCAUUGUUUGUCAGUGCUGCUUCAUACUGGAGUCUCCAUGUGCACAGAAGAGGCUAAGUCAGCUGCUUGGAUUCCUGUAACAACUCCAGCAAAGUGGCGGCUUUCCUGGAACGGCUGCCUGGGAAGGUGUGGGGCUCACACCCCAUUCCAGGACAGGCAGAGGACACAGAUUCUGACCUCACGUUCUUGCCAUUGUCUUUGUGUACACAACACUUCAACCUGGUGAGUAAUUCUUCCCUGUCUUUUGUUCUUCAAUCUCUUCAUAGCCCGAGGAGCAAGCGGGGCUUUUUUGGUGUGUUUGAAAUAGGAAGUUCCAUUUCAGUGAAGCAGCAUAACUGUUUCCUAACCUUGCCCUGGUAUUUCACCACCCAGGUUUUCCGGUUUGCUGCCUGCCUCCAACACACCUGAGAACACAGUACAGCUCGGGGCAGCUUGGCAGAGAAUGACUUGCCACCAACCUUAUCUGGUGAAGAGUUGCAGCCUUGGAAAGAGAAAACCAGGAUCCCUUCUGAUUGCUAGCUCAAGCUACUGCUGUUUGAAGUAAUGUACAGAUGCCUGCUGUCUUACCUGU